GGAGAGAUGGCCGAGUCCGGUUGAAGGCGCACGACUCGAAAUCGUGUGUGCCCAAAAGGCACCGUGGGUUCGAAUCCCACUCUCUCCGCCA
rnacentral:tRNA from 1 species